CCUACGGGUGGCUGCAGUGGGGAAUAUUGGACAAUGGGGGCAACCCUGAUCCAGCCAUGCCGCGUGUGUGAAGAAGGCCCUCGGGUUGUAAAGCACUUUCAGUGAGGAAGAACGCCUGGUGGUUAAUACCCAUCAGGAAAGACAUCACUCACAGAAGAAGCACCGGCUAACUCCGUGCCAGUAGCCGCGGUAAUACGGAGGGUGCGAGCGUUAAUCGGAAUUACUGGGCGUAAAGCGCGCGUAGGUGGCUUGAUAAGCCGGUUGUGAAAGCCCCGGGCUCAACCCGGGAACGGCAUCCGGAACUGUCAAGCUAGAGUGCGGGAGAGGAAGGUAGAAUUCCCGGUGUAGCGGUGAAAUGCGUAGAGAUCGGGAGGAAUACCAGUGGCGAAGGCGGCCUUCUGGACUGACACUGACACUGAGGUGCGAAAGCGUGGGUAGCAAACAGGAUUAGAUACCCCAGUAGUC
rnacentral:rRNA from 1 species